rnacentral:rRNA from 1 species
GACAUAGGGUGCAAACGUUGCUCGGAAUUACUGGGCGUAAAGCGCGUGUAGGUGGAUUGGUGUGUCAGAUGUGAAAGCCCUGGGCUCAACCCAGGAACUGCACCUGAAACUACCAGUCUUGAGUGGUGGAGAGGGAAGUGGAAUUCCUGGUGUAGAGGUGAAAUUCGUAGAGAUCGGGAGGAACACCUGUGGCGAAGGCGGCCCCCUGGGCCGGCCCUGACACUGAGACGCGAAGGCGUGGGGAGCGAACGGG